rnacentral:rRNA from 1 species
UACGAAGGGGGCUAGCGUUGCUCGGAAUCACUGGGCGUAAAGCGCACGUAGGCGGAUUGCUAAGUCAGGGGUGAAAUCCUGGAGCUCAACUCCAGAACUGCCUCCGAUACUGAGAGUCUUCGAGUCCGGGAGAGGUGAGUGGAACUGCGAGUGUAGAGGUGAAAUUCGUAGAUAUUCGCAAGAACACCAGUGGCGAAGGCGGCUCACUGGCCCGGUACUGACGCUGAGGUGCGAAAGCGUGGGGAGCGAACAGG